rnacentral:rRNA from 1 species
UACGGAGGAAGCAAGCGUUACUCGGAAUUAUUGGGCGUAAAGGGCGCGUAGGCGAUUUGAAAAGUCUUGUGUGAAAGCCCCGAGCUUAACUCGGGAAGUGCACAAGAAACUGUUGAAUUUGAGUUCCGGAGAGGAAGGCAGAAUUCCCGGUGUAGCGGUGAAAUGCGUAGAUAUCGGGAGGAAUACCAGUGGCGAAGGCGGCCUUCUGGACGGAUACUGACGCUGAGGCGCGAAAGCCAGGGGAGCAAACGGG